GACGAACGCUGGCGGCGUGCUUAACACAUGCAAGUCGAACGGAAAGGCCCUGCUUUUGUGGGGUGCUCGAGUGGCGAACGGGUGAGUAACACGUGAGUAACCUGCCCUUGACUUUGGGAUAACUUCAGGAAACUGGGGCUAAUACCGGAUAGGAGCUCCUGCUGCAUGGUGGGGUUUGGAAAGUUUCGGCGGUUGUGGAUGGACUCGCGGCUUAUCAGCUUGUUGGUGGGGUAGUGGCUUACCAAGGCUUUGACGGGUAGCCGGCCUGAGAGGGUGAACGGCGACAAUGGGACUGAGAUACGGCCCAGAAUGCUACGGGAGGCAGCAGGGGGGAAUAUGGCACAAUGGGCGGAAGUCUGAUGCAGCAACGCCGCGUGCGGGAUGACGGGCUACGGGUGGUAAACCGAUUUCGAAUGUGACGAAGAGUGAGUGACGGUAAUGGGUAAAGAAGCACCGGCUAACUACGUG
rnacentral:rRNA from 1 species